ACAUCAAUGGCUGAAUGGUUAAAGCGUCCAACUCAUAAUUGGAAAAUUCAUAGGUUCAUUUCCUACCGGAUGCA
rnacentral:tRNA from 1 species